CCAGAUGGGCUACUCGCCUUCCGUUUUUUUCUUCUCUCUCUCUCACUCUCUCUCUCUCCUGCACUCGUUCUUUUCGCCGCACAACUAGGUUAAUUGGGAACCCACCUGCACAUUGAUUGCAGGGUGGCGCUAGCCCGUAUAAAGCUAAGCCGAUGUUUUGUUGGAUUAUUUCCUCCCGUGCAUUUAGCGCAAAACAGCAGUAAAUGCUGGCGUACUGCGACGGACUGAUCAGCAAGAGCCGAUUAUAUGACAGCUACAGCGCAGCAGUCUGUUUAAUUCUGCCAUUGCGGAGAGAGGUGUUCGUGGUAUCUCCACCAAUGAGAGUAUAGUGCCUCCGGUCCUGGGGGUUCACUGCUGUACUCACCUCUCCAUGGUAAAUUGUCCAACCUAAAUUGGAAGAGUGGACUGCCUUCUCAGCUGCUGUUGUGAACUCCUCCUUGGUGGAGUCUGCUGUCUUGUCUUGUUUUGUCUUAUCUUGUUUUUAUUAAGUAGGCUUACCUUUUUUUGGGUUCGCCUGGUGUUCUAUUUUAUUGGACUGUUGCUCGUACCCACGCUUCUGUGAUCGGGCUGAAGUGAUUCUCUGCCCGAGUGUCGUGCUGGGACUCUAAAUCGCCUGGGUGGCCGGUCUCAGCCGGUGGGGAGCCAGACCAGCCUACGCCUGAGAAUAAUUAUUACCAGCACGAGUGGUAGUUUGACCCGUGGGGAAUAAGCCUUUCCCGUGGGUGUGUGUGUGAUUUCUUUUAUUAAAGUU